rnacentral:tRNA from 1 species
GGUUGUGUAGUGUAGCGGUUAGCACACGGGAUUCUGAUUCCCGUGACCCCGGUUCGAAUCCGGGCACGACCU